UAAAAACCAGUCAUCACUAUAUCCAAACAAUGAGAUUUAGUCUUGCUGAGAUAAUCCACAGGUCGCCUGAUAUCGAGCAUUGAUUGUAGAUCAAAUUUGAUAAUCUCAUUUAAAACGAGUCAUCACCAGAUCUGGUCGUCAAGCUGUCGACUUCUUCUAUUAGCAGCGUCCAAAAGAUUAGUUGUGACCACGCAAGGCAACCAAACGACUGCCUGCUCUGCUCCUGGUGCAUCCACUUUGAUCGGUGAUCAUUUGCAUGCUCUUUUUCCAUUUACCGGUAAAUCGAGUUGGCCUGAAUCAGUGGAAGUGGCAGAGGAAUCGACUUCCCAUUGGACGGCAGAGGUAGCUUUCUGCCCCGCAUGGCGAGGCCUGAGCAGCUCCAAUCCCUUCCUGUUCCACUUAGCUGACCGCUGGUGCUCACCUUGCCCUGACGUUUAGACCAGGACAAAGAACAAGGAGAGGGAGGGGGGGUAAUACUGUUUACAUGCACAAAAACUGAUCCUCUUGUUUGAGAUGAACAGUGAAAUUCUUGUUUAGGCAUGUAAAGAAAGAGAUUGAACACACAGUAGAGAUAAUUCUUUUUUUAAAUCAUAUUUUUAGAGGAAGUGAGGUGCCUCCGAUGGACCCUUAUUUACAUAUUCGAGUUCUGCUAGUAAACUACUUCCAUCUGCUUCGUCGGUGAAGCGGACAAACAAAAACACGUUUAUCUGGAAGAUUUUCCACGGGAACGUCUCACUCAUCGGGUUGGUCGACCAGAUGGAUUUUUGUGCAGGUAAUCUUAAGUUGCUGUGCAGUGAAAGGAUUAACCUCCUGCUGUUCGUUUUGGACUAUUUUAAAGACGUUUUCUUAAAAGAUGUAUGGCCAGUUUUUAUUUGGGUUAGUAAACAGUUUAUUUUUUAAUGUUUAACUGGCAGAUUCAGGGUCUCUUGGCAGCAUUAUACCCUCCUGUUCUUCUUCCUGGCCUACUGGGUGGAGCCUGUUCCAGAAACCAGUCUUGUGUUGUAUUUGUAUUUUAUUUCCAGCUUUUUAAAAAUAAGAAAGUCAUAAACAAUGUCUAUCAGUAUUUAAAAAAAAAAAUAGGAGGUGGAAGUCUUUGGGAAUUAUUUGUGUUAUUGCUUGAGUUUCUUUGGCUUUUUUUUUUUGUUUUGUUUUUUUUUUUUCCUUCUUGGCGCUUUACCAGAAUUUUUCUGAUGAUUUACAUUUGGUUGUAAGAAACCGUCAAUCAUCCCUGCCAAAUGCUGUUGUUAGGCAGUCAGGAGAAAGGCUGGCCUCUCGGCUGCCUGUCUAGGGCAUCGCCAGGGUCACGAGUGCUGGCUUUUGAAAUUUUUUUUUUUUUUUUUUUCUUUCUCGUUUGUUUUGCACACAAACCUGGCUGAAAAGACGGAGGAGCGCGGCGGCAUAAAUCGGCUCGACUCAUAAUGUAGAAUUUUUAUUUUAUUUUAUUUUGUAAGAUUUUACUCUUGAUUUUUAAAUCCUGAUUUAUUUUUUCUUGGAUGCUGAAGCAGUGACGUAAACGAAAGAAACAAGAACACCACGCUGUAUGCAAAGUCUGUAAAUAUGAAAUGUGGGGGUUUGUUCAUACUAAACUAUACACACGCACAUGACUGGAAACUGUAUUUGUAAACUAGCUUUGGUUUGUGUAAUAAAUUACUUUCUAUAACACCCA